rnacentral:lncRNA from 1 species
AAACAUCCUUAAACUCUUUUUCAAUCAUAAAGGUUGGAAACUGAGAACCCAUGUGUACUUUCAGAAUAUUUAUUGGACGUCUAUAUUGAAAAAUGGCAAAGGAUACCACUGUAUUCAUUAAAUGGUUAAAACAAUGAUUUGAACUAAAAGCUUGAAACUGUAUUCCCUCACAUUUUGAUCAUUCAUUUCUUCAUUAAUUGAGAUUUAGAGUGUAUGGACUUAAUCAGAGUUUCAUAAACAGAUAAUAGCCUGAAUACAAAGGGAGCACCAGGAAAUUCAAUGACUACAUUCUAAAUAUGUUCUUGUUUGCAUGUAAGAGAGUCUCUAAAUGAAUGAAUCAUUGAUUAAACAGAUGGGUUGUGGGUGGUAAAUCCUGACCAAGGUUCUUGUUUCUUUUACAACAGAAAUGUUUCCCAAGAGUGCACACUUUAGAUGCUUUACACCAACUCAGAUUAGUUGUGCAUUCACAGCAUUGAUGAUUGUCUUUCUUGAAAAUCUACCAUUUUGCAAUCCAGGUUUGCCAUAAUUCUGCAAUAAGAACCUAAAAAGUAUGAGCAUUUUCCUGAAGAUACCGCUGAAACUCUCUUCUAU